rnacentral:rRNA from 1 species
CGUGUAGGCGGGUGUUUAAGUCAGGGGUGAAAUGCCAAGGCUCAACCUUGGAACUGCCUUUGAUACUGGAGAUCUUGAGUCCGGGAGAGGUGAGUGGAACUGCGAGUGUAGAGGUGAAAUUCGUAGAUAUUCGCAAGAACACCAGUGGCGAAGGCGGCUCACUGGCCCGGAACUGACGCUGAGACGCGAAAGCGUGGGGAGCAAACAGGAUUAGAUACCCUGGUAGUCCACGCUGUAAACGAUGGAUGCUAGCCGUUGGGGAGCUUGCUCUUCAGUGGCGCCGCUAACGCUUUAAGCAUCCCGCCUGGGGAGUACGGUCGCAAGAUUAA